rnacentral:rRNA from 1 species
ACGGGUGAGUAUCGCGUAUCCAACCUGCCCCUUACUUGGGGAUACCCCGUCGAAAGACGGCCUAAUACCCGAUGUGUUUCAUUGACGGCAUCCGAUAUGAAACAAAGGUUUUUUCCGGUAAGGGAUGGGGAUGCGUCUGAUUAGCUUGUUGGCGGGGCAACGGCCCACCAAGGCGACGAUCAGUAGGGGUUCUGAGAGGAAGGUCCCCCACAUUGGAACUGAGACACGGUCCAAACUCCUACGGGAGGCAGCAGUGAGGAAUAUUGGUCAAUGGACGCAAGUCUGAACCAGCCAAGUAGCGUGCAGGAUGACGGCCCUAUGGGUUGUAAACUGCUUUUAUGUGGGAAUAAAGUGGCGCACGUGUGCGCCAUUGCAUGUACCUCAUGAAUAAGGACCGGCUAAUUCCGUGCCAGCAGCCGCGGUAAUACGUAGGGUGCGAGCGUUAAUCGGAAUUACUGGGCGUAAAGCGAGCGCAGACGGUUACUUAAGCAGGAUGUGAAAUCCCCGGGCUUAACCUGGGAACUGCGUUCUGAACUGGGUGACUAGAGUGUGUCAGAGGGAGGUAGAAUUCCACGUGUAGCAGUGAAAUGCGUAGAGAUGUGGAGGAAUACCGAUGGCGAAGGCAGCCUCCUGGGAUAACACUGACGUUCAUGCUCGAAAGCGUGGGUAGCAAACAGGAUUAGAUACCCUGGUAGUCCA